GUGACUGCGUACCUUUUGUAUAAUGGGUCAGCGACUUACAUUCAGUGGCAAGGUUAACCAGAUAGGGAAGCCGUAGAGAAAUCGAGUCCGAACAGGGCGAUAGUCGCUGGGUGUAGACCCGAAACCAAGUGAUCUACUCAUGGCCAGGAUGAAGGUGCGGUAACACGCACUGGAGGUCCGAACCCACUAAUGUUGAAAAAUUAGGGGAUGAGCUGUGGGUAGGGGUGAAAGGCUAAACAAACUUGGAAAUAGCUGGUUCUCUCCGAAAACUAUUUAGGUAGUGCCUCAAGUAUCACCAUCGGGGGUAGAGCACUGUUAUGGCUAGGGGGUCAUCGCGACUUACCAAACCAUUGCAAACUCCGAAUACCGAUGAGUGCGAGCUUGGGAGACAGACGUCGGGUGCUAACGUCCGGCGUCAAGAGGGAAACAACCCAGACCGCCAGCUAAGGUCCCAAAGAUUGGCUAAGUGGAAAACGAAGUGGGAAGGCUAAAACAGUCAGGAUGUUGGCUUAGAAGCAGCCAUCAUUUAAAGAAAGCGUAAUAGCUCACUGAUCGAGUCGUCCUGCGCGGAAGAUGUAACGGGGCUAAGCCAGUCACCGAAGCUGCGGAUAUCCGUAAGGAUAUGGUAGGAGAGCGUUCUGUAAGCCUGCGAAGGUGUCUUGUAAAGGAUGCUGGAGGUAUCAGAAGUGCGAAUGCUGACAUGAGUAGCGAUAAUG
rnacentral:rRNA from 1 species